UUUCGGUAAGUUACAGAAAUUCAUUUCUUGAUUAAUUUAAUUGGUUCCCUUUGUGUAACUAAUUUCUAAAUAAGUAGAUAUGGAAAUUUACAAUUGAACGAAAAUUAUUAAAUGAAGUAGGUAAUCAUGGAAAUAACAAAAACCAUUUCACGGUGAAAAUUUCAACAUGAAAGAAAUUUUCUUUAUAAGUUGGUGCGCCGGUUUUCAGUAUUCAGUUAUCAGAAGGGUUUCAAAAUGAAACUGUUUGUGUUUGUUCUGCCUUUAUUCGUGGUCAUGGCUGCAGUGCUUUCACAGCCACCCCCUGUGGGACGCCAAGGCAAUUAUGGCUGUGGGCAUGACUUUUGCCCUCCCCCCAUAAAUCCUCGCUUUUAUAUAAAGCUCAAUGCUCAAACCUUAGAGGACGGUAGAGGUGGCCCUGGUCUGCCGUAGAAGAGAAAAGUCAAGGUUAAUAUCGCCAAGACUGUGUUUUUGACUGGUGCCCUCCUCUCAACCAACGCUCCUCCGAAUUCCUUAGCUCAAUUAAUGGCACACAUUUCCAG